rnacentral:rRNA from 1 species
UACGUAGGGGGCAAGCGUUGUCCGGAAUCAUUGGGCGUAAAGAGCGCGUAGGCGGCCCAGUAAGUCCGCUCUGAAAGUCAGGGGCUCAACCCCUGGAUGCGGGUGGAUACUGCUGGGCUAGAGUCCGGAAGAGGUGAGUGGAAUUCCUGGUGUAGCGGUGAAAUGCGCAGAUAUCAGGAGGAACACCGGUGGCGAAGGCGGGUCUCUGGGCAAGUAACUGACGCUGAGGAGCGAAAGCGUGGGGAGCGAACAGG